UACGGGGGGGGCAAGCGUUGUUCGGAAUUACUGGGCGUAAAGGGCUCGUAGGCGGCCAACUAAGUCAGACGUGAAAUCCCUCGGCUUAACCGGGGAACUGCAUCUGAUACUGGAUGGCUUGAGUUUGGGAGAGGGAUGCGGAAUUCCAGGUGUAGCGGUGAAAUGCGUAGAUAUCUGGAGGAACACCGGUGGCGAAGGCGGUUGCCUGGAGCUUUGCUGACGCUGAUGCGCGAAAGCGUGGGGAGCGAUCCGG
rnacentral:rRNA from 1 species